UACGGGGGGGGCAAGCGUUGUUCGGAAUUACUGGGCGUAAAGGGCUCGUAGGCGGCCAACUAAGUCCGACGUGAAAUCCCAAGGCUUAACCUUGGAACUGCGUCGGAUACUGGAUGGCUUGAAUUCGGGAGAGGGAUGCAGAAUUCCAGGUGUAGCGGUGAAAUGCGUAGAUAUCUGGAGGAAUACCGGUGGCGAAGGCGGCAUCCUGGACCGACAUUGACGCUGAGGAGCGAAAGCUAGGGGGGCAAACGGG
rnacentral:rRNA from 1 species